CUGUUACAACCUCCUCUUAGGUUACAUGAACCUCCUCUUAGGUUAUAUGAAAGACUCGACCCUGAGUCCUCUCUCCUUGUACUCUUAGUCUGCCUCAGUUAACACUAGCUCCUGAUCGAGCUAGUCAUCUAGGUCCAUCUGCUGUCACCGAUUGUUGCUAACUAUGAGUUGGUUGUCCAUGGCUCUUAUUCUGCUCAACAGUCCUCUAAGGACAUUCCUUCCGGCGAUGUCCAAUCUCGCCAUAAUGAUAACAAGGGCAUCUAGAUAUGGGUACUCCUUCCAUCGGUACUCCUCCUGUCUACAUAUAUAACAUCGAUUGGGUAUGGCUGAACAAUCCCCUGGAUGAUUCCGCUCACACAUCACACAUUAAAGAGAUGGUCUGCCAGAUGAGAAGUCAGAAGUCUUACUUUUCUCAAAUUCAUUUCGGCCUUGAUUUUCUGCUAUACAUGUUUCUAAAGCCCGAGUCACUUCAAUUAGCUCCCUUACAGUUUUAAACUGGAAAGCAAUCAAUGCUUGUUUCAAAUUAGGUCUCAAUCCAUCUCUCAAUCUAUCAACGAUAUGCUGCUCAAAGCGUAUAUAUAGGGGAGAAAACAUAAAAAGUUCAUGGAAUCAUCAUUCAUACUCCAUCACCGACAUUUUUUUUUUCUCAGUGCUAAGAACUCUUGUUCCUUUAUUUUCCGGUCUUCUAAUAUAAAACUUGUUUUCAAAUUCCAUCCUGAAAUCUCCCGAAGUCAUCACAUCUACAGUUUUUCUUAUCUUCACUGCUUCCCACCAUGUUAGUGCACUACCCGACAACAACUGAGCAACACAAUUUACUAAUAUAUUAAUUGGUGCCUCAAUGUCCGCUCCACCUUCACAAUCCAUCUUCCUGUAAUCUCAGCAUCCUGCUCACAAUAAUACCAUUCACACCCCAAUUAUCUCAUGCUUUUUGCCAUCUGACAAAAACAACAACAUUAUCUCUAGGGGUUGGCGCUGCAACUGUAGGUGUUGUUAGUGCCACUGAUGUUGUAGCACUAGACAUGCCUAACAUUGUAACCUUCACGAUCUGCUCUGGAUACACUAGUUCUAUGUGCACACUCGGUGCUGCUGUAGGGGCUACCGAUGGAGGCUCCUCUCCCUGUCUCGGUAAGUCUUGUCCUUUAAAUUGCAUAACCCCUUCCCAUCGGGAUGCAGAAUCAUCUCAGUGUCUAAAUGGCUCCCCUCGUCAAGGCUGAAUGGAUGCUGCUUAUAUAUAGGAUUCAGUAUAUGCUAACAGAUCUUCUUCCAGACCAACCUCGGGUCAUGCACUAGCAUUCCUCUCCCGUGCCAUAGAUGGAUCCAUUUGAGCUCCUUAUCGAGUGGUCACCAUUCUGAAACAUUUCAUCAUAAAUCAAUUUCGCAAUCAAGUCAUAAAAUUAUUUCAUGCUA